rnacentral:lncRNA from 1 species
GCAUAUGAUGUAUGUUCAUCCUGUAUUCCUUAAUUUGUUCUCAGAAUGUAUAAGGAAUUUUUACCUGAUUUACUUUAUGUGCAAAGGAGAAGUUUAAUUUUCUGGACCUUAACAUGAUUUAAAUCUGACUACCCAUUCAGGCCCCAACUUUGAGGAUCAUUCCAAUUUGAAAAAAUGCUUCACACACAUUUGAAGUUACGCAAAUACAAAUAUAGUCAAGGUAUGUAAAAUUCAAAUCGUGUGACAUGAGUAAUAGCAAUCAAUAACUCAGAAGAAGAAAAGAAACAAUAAAGGACAUUGGUCCAUAGCUGGCAAGUUACGAGACAGCACUGUGCUCACACGGCCAAGAUGGCCAACAGCAUCUUGGCCUAUAUUAGAAAUACUGUGGCCAGCAGUGACUGUACUCAGCUCUGGCGAGGCCACAGCUCAAACACUGUGUUCUGUUUUGGGCCCCUCAUUAAAAGAAAGAUAUUGAAGUUUUGGAGCAUGUCCAAAGAAAAACAAGAAAGCUGGUGAAUAUUCUAUAGAACAAGACAUGUAAGGGGUGGCUAAGGAAACUGGGGUUAUUUAGCAUAGAGAAAAGGAUGGUCAGGGAGAGACUUUAUAGCUCCCUUCAGCCACUUGGGAGGAAUAGUGGAAUAGUGAAUAGUUGUAGCAUAGUGGAAGUAGGUCUCUUCUCCCAGGUGAGAGAUACUUGGACAAGAGGAAAUGGACUCAAGCUGCAUCAAGAGUUAGUUUAAAUAGGAAAAAUUCUUCACUGAAGGGGUUGUGGGGCAUUGGAACUGACUACCUAGGGAAGUAAUUGAGUCACCAUCCCUGAAGGUGUUCAAAUGACAUGUAGAUGUGGUGGUAAAGGAUAUUGUUUAGUGGUAGACUGGGCAGUGCUAUAUUAACUGGGGGAUGAUCUUGGAGGUCUUUUCCAACCUAAAUGAUUGUAUGAUUGUAUGAAUGUAUGAAUGAACCAAAACUUGUCCAAACUUUCAGAUGUUUGAAGGUGAUUGUGCAAGCAGAGAUGGAAAUGGAACAUUACUGCAAGCAAGCGCUGCCCAUCAGCAGUCAUGUUCUAUCCUGGAACAAGAAUAGUAGAAAAGAAAAACAUCAGAAAGCACUUCCUGAAUCUCUGCAGAGAUCGCUGAACUGCAGCAGUGAAAGCAAGUGCAUUCUUCUGACUCGCCCCUGCUCCCCCUUGUGAGCCGUGCUGGUGACUAUUUGCAAGGAGUGCCACGCAAGCUGUGAUACACCCCUGCUGAUGUCAGUAGGAAUUCAGCUGUUUCUGCUGGUGUAAUUGUGACCUAAUAUUUCACUGAUAGCUCUGCAUUUUUGGUGAAUUUUGUAGUGAGAUCAUGUUUGACUCAAAAAUUUCCUGUGGAGUACAAACCUGAGAAUCCUGGCACUUUGGUGCUACCAUCAAUAACGUGGUAUUUUACAGAUCUUGUUGCAUUUUCUUUCAUGCGAUGAACUUGCAAUGCUUUUGGAAAAUAAAAGGAAGUAGAAAUCCUCUGUGAAUUAAAUU